CUCGGACGCCAACAUUGACAUCAGCACCAAGAUCGACUAUCGGACGCGUGCUCAUCGUUGAUUCGACUAAAACCCAGAACCCACCUGCUUUGGGCCCACAAGGAGUUCCCAGUGUACCUUCUCAUGUCAUCGAAAUGUUCCCGCAGCAAAUCCCACUGCUUCUCAUGUCGCCUCCCGCAGCCGACCAAGAUUCAAGAUGGAGCACGGCGGGGAUCCCAUCCCCUACAGCUUCCAUUUCAUGGAAGAUCUUAAAACGGGGCGAGGGGAGAACAAUAGAUGCACGGAGGCGAAUCGGAGAGUGAAUUCGGAAAUUGGACGUCCAUUUACAUUCCCGCUUCCCGAAAGAGGGAGGAAAAAGAAACGGGUUGCAAUUCUGAGGAAAAACGUAGAGAUGGCCCUCAUUUCGGAGAUUGCGGACGAGGCCCCUGACGAGGAGGAAGGGUCGACGGCGAUGGUGGAGCCCAAAGAGGAGCCGCGUGGUGAGAGUUCACAAGGGCCGCCGGUGGAGGAGCCGUCGAAAAUGGGACCGUCGUUGGGGGGGGCAGACGCUUUAUAAGGAGUGCACGCUCCGCGUGGCCUACGACAUGCGGAGCUACCUCCUCAUGCGGCAGGUCGGCACCCCAGGCGACGGCCAGCCUCCAGCUCCGCCGCCGCGGGAGGGCAGGUGCAAGGCGAUGAUGGAGGUGGUGCGGAAUGAGAAUGACAGUUGGAUGGUUUCGAAGUUUGUCGCCGAGCACAACCACGGGCUUCUGCCAGGUCAUGUGCCGGCUGGUGAAGGUCAGGGCGUGGUUUUGGCGCCGGCGGUAGGCACGGAAUUUGAGUCCGUGGAGGCCGCGAAGACCUUCUAUUACGGCUACGGUGAGAAAAUGGGGUUCAAGGCUCAGACGGGCUCUAACCGUAGGUCGGCAGGCAGCAGAGCGCUCAUCAUGCAGAGGUUCUUGUGUUGGCGGGGCAAUUAUCUGAUAUACAGGAGGAGUUCCAUUUCUAGUGUUGGGAAACGGAAGUGAGAGCUCAGGGGCUCGUGCAGGAGGUGUCAAGAGCUAAGAAAGAUCAGGAUGCUGCAGAGGUUUUUAAGUUGAGAGUUCUACUGAGAAGGUAGCACCGGCUGGAGAGGAUCAUGGUCAAGAGGUUCAGAGUGGCAGUCUUAGAAAAGUAGUCAUCUAUGGAGAAAGAUGUGAGGCCAAAACCAAUUUCUUCAGCUGGUUUGGCAACCGCAUCAAAGGCUAGAGUGAAGGAUGGUGGUAAGACAAACCCUGCAGCCAAUGCUAGUCAAUCUCAGCUAUUGAGAGCACUUGGUGUGAGAGUGUAUAGGUACACAGAGGAAGAAAGGAGAGAUAUAAUUCUUAUGUACUUGAUGAAACGAACAAAUAGAGCAGGCAUAAAAAGGCCUACCAAGGUAUGAUUAUGAAUUCUUCUAGUUGCAGAAUUCCCCACUAUAUUGGAUCAUGAAGAAUUUUUAGUAGAACCAGAUGUUAGUCAUAGCUGCGACAUACGGAGGGCUACAAUUAUUGAUCAUAUUGUUGGAGUACUCACACUUUCUGGCCACAUGGAUUGAGUUUUUCGAUCAGGCAGUUUGGUUGUUCACGUUUUGUUGAAUGGCCACUGGUUCCUACACUUUGUAGGUUCCUUCAAGGUAAGCUUUGGCUGGAAGGCAUCAGCGGGGUAUUGGAGGAUGAUUUCUUAGCAGAGAUGAAUUGCAGUUAGAAGAUAUUCUUAUAGAUUCUUAGGCUAAGCUCUUGAGUAUUUCUUGGUGUCAAUUCCAAGAGGACGAGGAAAUUACAGAAGUGGUAUCACAUGCUCCCACAGAUGAUGCAUUAAAUGCAGGUGGAGAGCCAAAAGUUGGAAUGGUUUUCUCAAAUGAAGUUAAGGCAUGAGUUUUACAUUAGGUAUGCUGGAACUGUUGGUUUCAGUGUUCGGAAAGGUUGGUGGGAUAAAUCUGCUAGGAAUGUUACUAGAUCUAUAGUUUAUGUGUGCUCAAGAGAAGGGUAUCGUCCAACCAACAUAACAAAUGAGGCCAAGAAAACAGGAUCAGAAACAAGAACUGGUUGCCCGGCACGUUUGGCAAUCAAAAUUAUACCUGACGGCAAAUAUUGUGUGAUUGAAUUUGUAGCUGACCAUAACCAUCAGCUCACAGCUCCCUUAGAUAUUCAAAUGUUGAGGUCACAAAGGCUGUUAGCUAAGUUUCAGACUGGAGGCCGACAAGGUGCCAGUCAAAUUCCUGCUAGUUACAAAAAUUAUCUCAGAUCAAAGCGUAUGAAGAACUUGCAGAGUGGUGAUGCAGGUGCUUUGAUGGAGUAUUUGCAAAAGAUGAAAGGGGAUAACCCAUCUUUCUUUUAUGCUAUACAAGUUGAUGAAGCCGAGCAACUGACAAAUGUUUUCUGGGCAGAUCCAAAAUCCAUCAUGGAUUACCAUUACUUUGGUGACAUAAUAUGUUUUGACACAGCCUAUCAAAUAAAUGAUUAUGGCCGACCCUUGGUGCUGUUCACUGGUGUUAAUCAUCAUAAACAAAUAAUUAUUUUUGGUUCUGCAUUCCUGUAUGAUGUAAGUUUAGAAUCCUUUAAAUGGUUGUUGGAGACAUUCAAGAACACAACGGGUGGAGAACAGCCAAAGACAAUUUUAACAUAUCAGUUUUCAGCAAUCAGUGAUGCAAUUGCUGCUGCAUGGCUUGGCACAACUCACCGUCUUUGUGCAUGGCACAUAUAUUAGAAUGCCAAAAGGUACCUUCGUCAUGCUUUCCAAGGCUAUGAAUCUUUUGCAGAUGAUUUUGGCAGAUGUAUGCAUGACUUUGAGGAGGAGCAGGAAUUCCUUUCUGCAUGGGAGGUAAUGCUGGAAAAGUAUGAUCUAAAAGACAAUGAAUGGUUAGGUCAGUUGUAUGGAAAAAAGAAGUGGGUGUUGGUCUAUGGACGUCAAGUUUUUUCUGCAGACUUAACAAAUACACUACGGAAUGAGAACUUGCACAGUGUUAUGAAUGAAUUCUUGACACCAGAGAUUGAUCUUUUGCCAUUUUUAAGGCAGUAUGAAAAGUUAUUAGAAGAGCAAUGAUAUGCAGAACGACAAGUUGAUUAUCUUGCAAACC